GCUGACACCAGAGUAACAUCCUGACACAGCUCUUGUCCUGGUGUGCUAGAGUUCUCGAUGAAUCUACUGGUCUUGAUUCACUGGCAAAGACAAUCAGUGGCUAUGUCAGUACAAGUAUCUAAAACAUGG
ensembl:snoRNA